rnacentral:rRNA from 1 species
GAUGAACGCUGGCGGCGUGCCUAAUACAUGCAAGUCGAGCGAACGGACGAGAAGCUUGCUUCUCUGAUGUUAGCGGCGGACGGGUGAGUAACACGUGGAUAACCUACCUAUAAGACUGGGGUAACUUCGGGAAACCGGAGCUAAUACCGGAUAAUCUUUUGAACCGCAUGGUUCAAUAGUGAAAGACGGUCUUGCUGUCACUUAUAGAUGGAUCCGCGCUGCAUUAGCUAGUUGGUAAGGUAACGGCUUACCAAGGCAACGAUGCAUAGCCGACCUGAGAGGGUGAUAGGCCACACUGGAACUGAGACACGGUCCAGACUCCUACGGGAGGCAGCAGUAGGGAAUCUUCCGCAAUGGGCGAAAGCCUGACGGAGCAACGCCGCGUGAGUGAUGAAGGUCUUCGGAUCGUAAAACUCUGUUAUUAGGGAAGAACAUAUGUGUAAGUAACUGUGCACAUCUUGACGGUACCUAAUCAGAAAGCCACGGCUAACUACGUG